GCUUCAAAGCCUUCAUCUGAACUAU
rnacentral:snRNA from 1 species